rnacentral:rRNA from 1 species
UACAGAGGUCCCGAGCGUUGUUCGGAUUCACUGGGCGUAAAGGGUGCGUAGGUGGCAUGGCCAGUUUGAUGUGAAAGCUCAGGGCUUAACCCUGAAAUGGCAUUGAAUACUGCUGUGCUGGAGGUUUGGAGGGGGGACUGGAAUUCUUGGUGUAGCAGUGAAAUGCGUAGAUAUCAAGAGGAACACCAGUGGCGAAGGCGAGUCCCUGGACAACACCUGACACUGAGGCACGAAAGCGUGGGGAGCAAACAGG